rnacentral:rRNA from 1 species
GACGAACGCUGGCGGCGUGCCUAAUACAUGCAAGUAGAACGCUGAAGGAGGAGCUUGCUUCUCCGGAUGAGUUGCGAACGGGUGAGUAACGCGUAGGUAACCUGCCUGGUAGCGGGGGAUAACUAUUGGAAACGAUAGCUAAUACCGCAUAAGAGUAGAUGUCGCAUGACAUUUGCUUAAAAGGUGCAACUGCACCACUACCAGAUGGACCUGCGUUGUAUUAGCUAGUUGGUGAGGUAACGGCUCACCAAGGCAACGAUACAUAGCCGACCUGAGAGGGUGAUCGGCCACACUGGGACUGAGACACGGCCCAGACUCCUACGGGAGGCAGCAGUAGGGAAUCUUCGGCAAUGGACGGAAGUCUGACCGAGCAACGCCGCGGGAGUGAAGAAGGUUGUCGGAUCGUAAAGCUCUGUUGUAAGAGAAGAACGAGUGUGAGAGUGGAAAGUUCACACUGUGACGGUAUCUUACCAGAAAGGGACGGCUAACUACGUG